rnacentral:lncRNA from 1 species
CAAUCUUUAUCCUUCGAGUCUUGCACGAAGAACACUUGUUGAGCUUGAGAUGAAAAAACAAAUGGGUCAUCUUUCAAUAGCACACCAGUAUGUAUCAACCUUGAAAAAUUUACUAGUGUGAAGCCAUUUAUAUCUUGCUUCAAACCUCUAGAUGAGUUUAUAUCCACCCAAUCAUAUCGAAAUAAUACUACCUUAAAGUUUCCGUAAUAAUCUAACUCAUAAACAUCUGUUAGGGCACCAUAAUAAAUUUU